GGGAGGUUCGAGACAUUGAAACGCUUCCGUAAAAUGAAUGAGAAGAAGAGCAGGAAGAGGAAAAGGCCAUAUGAUCCAGGAGAAGGCCCAAGGAUCAAACGGAGGAGAAUCUGGCCCUAGUGACGUUUGUAUUUCAUGUUAUUACAUAUACUUCUUGUUAUUAUAGAUCCAAGUCAACUUGUACAAAAUCCCCCUUCCCUGGGCCUCGUGCGGAGGGGAGGGAGUUUGUCCUAGCCCUGCCCCGCACGAGGCCCAAGAAGCGGGCCGAUUGGCUCCCUUGAAAUUGGAGGCGUGGUCUCGGCUGUAAUCGGCCGAUCCACGGCCCAAGCUCUUCAGUUUUGCCUUGGCAAUCCCCUCCCUCCCUUCCUUCCCUGAUGCAGAGCGGGUCUAGCGGCUGGUCGCCUGCGGGGGCCGAGUAGGAAUUUUUUGCUCUCAACGCAUUGGCCACCGUUGGGGGUUUUUUCGCCUACUCCGUUCUGUACUCAGGUGUUUAGUUAGAGUUAGAGUUGGGAGUAACUGUGCGGGCUGAGGGGUAAGUUGAGGGUUAGAAUAUCGGUGAGCACCCUUGGAUCUUUAAAGGUUGAUUGGUCAAUUGCUGCUUUGUGGCCUGUGCGUCACGGGGAGAAUAGAUUGCCAUGAAACCUGCUUCAGGACUUCACCAACCUUUGGGCUGUGCAGUCCAGGGUGGGUGAAGACCUUGAAGUAUCCAGAUCCCCUCUUCUAAAGGAGGCGGUUGGCUCUGAAGGAAUUAGGCGGGGCGUACCUGCCUGUUUCCUGAGCCAGGGUGUGUCGCCCAGUGAGGCGAUGGGUAGGAUGUUAGAGUCCUAGCCCGAGCUUAAGGGCCCGCACUGUUCUCUAAGGGUGAUUAAUCACCUGGCAUUCUAGUCCGCCAGGUCUGUUGUUUCUUUAAUAAAAUUGUGGUCCUUUCACCCA